rnacentral:rRNA from 1 species
CCUACGGGAGGCAGCAGUGGGGAAUCUUGCACAAUGGGCGAAAGCCUGACACAGCGACGCCGCGUGAGUGAUGAAGGCCUUCGGGUUGUAAAACUCCGUGGGGAGAGACGAAUAAGUAGAAGCUAAUACCUUCUAUGAUGACGGUAUCUCCUUAGCAAGCACCGGCUAACUCUGUGCCAGCAGCCGCGGUAAU